rnacentral:rRNA from 1 species
UACGUAGGUGGCAAGCGUUGUCCGGAUUUACUGGGCGUAAAGAGCGCGCAGGCGGUCGUUCAAGUCGCGUGUGAAAGCCCCCGGCUCAACUGGGGAGGGUCACGCGAUACUGAUCGACUCGAAGGCAGGAGAGGGUAGUGGAAUUCCCGGUGUAGUGGUGAAAUGCGUAGAUAUCGGGAGGAACACCAGUGGCGAAGGCGGCUCGCUGGGCCGUUCCUGACGCUGAGACGCGAAAGCUAGGGGAGCGAACAGG